AGAGUUUGAUCCUGGCUCAGAACGAACGCUGGCGGCGUGGAUAAGACAUGCAAGUCGAACGGGAGUUCAUUUAUAGCAAUAUGAGUGAACUCUAGUGGCGAAAGGGUGCGUAACACGUGGCUACCUACCUCGAAGUUGGGGAUAGCUCGGCGAAAGCCGGAUUAAUACCGAAUGUGACCGUAAGGUCAAAGUUGGGGAUCGUAAGACCUGACGCUUUGAGAUGGGGCUGCGGCCUAUCAGGUAGUUGGCGGGGUAAUGGCCCACCAAGCCUAAGACGGGUAGCUGGUCUGAGAGGACGACCAGCCACACUGGAACUGAGACACGGUCCAGACACCUACGGGUGGCAGCAGUCGAGGAUUUUUCUCAAUGGGGGAAACCCUGAAGGAGCGACGCCGCGUGAGGGAUGAAGGUCUUCGGAUUGUAAACCUCUGUCAUCUGGGAACAAUGUAAUCUACCUAACACGUGGAUUAUUGAUAGUACCGGAAGAGGAAGCAGUGGCUAACUCUGUGCCAGCAGCCGCGGUAAUACAGAGACUGCAAGCGUUGUUCGGAUUCAUUGGGCGUAAAGGGUGCGCAGGCGGUGUGCUAAGUCGGAUGUGAAAUCUCACAGCCUAACUGUGAUAGGUCAUUCGAAACUGGCAUGCUAGAGGACUGGAGAGGAGACUGGAAUGGUCGGUGUAGCGGUGAAAUGCGUAGAGAUCGACCAGAACACCGGUGGCGAAGGCGGGUCUCUGGACAGUUCCUGACGCUCAGGCACGAAAGCCAGGGGAGCAAACGGGAUUAGAUACCCNNGUAGUCC
rnacentral:rRNA from 1 species